AAAUCGAGAUGGGAUGGAAGAAUAUCGGAUAUGUCCAUGAUAGAUGAGGAGUUUAGGAGCAUCUCCCGGUUUCUUGAGAUUGAAGUCAGUGUGAGCGCCAUUGCCACUGAAUCUAGAUGGGAUGUUUGAGUGGCGUUCGCGUAUGAGAUAAAUGAGGAGUUUGGGAGCGUGUCCAGGUUUGUGCUGGUACCAGAACACACAGUUCCUCCAGAGACUACAGUCAGCAACAGAUGUCAGAGGUGACUGAGGGCUGAAGAAAGUGAGCAGAAUGGGUUAUUCAGCUGCAAUAAAGUUCCUCAAGUAAUGCUGGGAGACAGGAGAGCUGUAUGUCUGCAGAGUAACACAUGCCAAGAUCCCAUACGCCAGGCAAUCCUGAUGCUUCCCAGUAGGUCCUGCUCUCUCCUGGGAAUGAAGCCAUAUCUGAGUCCCCUAUGACAGGUUUUCCCGCAGUCAGUCAACAAUCUACACCUUCUCACAGAGCUUCAACACAUUAAAGACCAGACCUGAAUUCCCCGGUUCAAGGCUGUUUCUGGCUAUUUUAAUGCCAUAUAGGUGGACUGUUUCCCUUGUUGGCAUCUCCUUAACAGGCAACCAUCUAGUUUGGCUAGAAACGGCCCUGUCUGGGGUGAAAAUCUUCAUUAAAAUCUGCACAAUCUGCUACAGCCUGUACUUCUUGCAUUGGCAUUUCGCUUGACAUCCAAAACUUACAGAACUGCAGCUCUGAGCAGUUAAUGCUGAAUACCAAAUCGCCUCUUUGUCUCCGUAGCUGUGCUUUAGACAUUAAAAAAGUGAGGAAUAUCGAUUACGCUGUCGCUCAUGUGAAGGGGGACAGGUCCUUUCCUGACUAAUUUGUAGGAAAAUGCACCUUGUGGCUCCUCCCUUGACACAGUGUUUAUUCAGCAGAAAUAAUUGGUAAUAGCUGAAAGAUAACGUGAGCAGAAUGGUCAUAUUUCUGCCUGUGCCGGUAACGUCUCAUGCAUUUUUAUGCAGUACAGCAGCAGUAUUAGAACCGAUAAUGUUCAGUAAUUAAAGCUGCAUGAAUGGGUGAAAUGGAGCCUGUACUGAAACGCAUUGCUUAUUUUGUAUAGUGCAGUGGUGCUUAUUUCAGUUGGCGGACCAUAAAAAAAAAAAGUGACCACCGAACA